UACACAACUUUAAUCAGCAGUCAAAGAACUACAGUGUCUGUCAGAGAAUGGAAAACACACUUGUCUGGGGUUUAUUAUUUGCAGUUACUGUUCAUGGAGUUUGGAGUGAGAUCAAACUGGACCAGUCUCCAUCGCAGGUGAAAACACCUGGAGAGACGGUGAAGAUGUCAUGUGUCACAUCUGGGUACUCCAUGACAUCCGUCAAUAUAGCCUGGAUACGGCAGAGGCCGGGGGAAGCUCUGGAGUGGAUCGGGUGGAUGAGCACAGGUUCAAACUCUGCCAGCUAUGGCAGCUCCUUUCAAAACCGUUUCAUCAUGACUGAGGAUGUUUCCAGCAGCACUCAGUUCCUUCAGGUCGAGAGUCUGACAGCAGAAGAUGCUGCUGUUUACUUCUGUGCUCGAGACCCACAAUGA